rnacentral:rRNA from 2 species
ACCGCGAAACUGCGAAUGGCUCAUUAAAUCAGUUAUCGUUUAUUUGAUAGUACCUUACUACAUGGAUAACCCGUGGUAAUUCUAGAGCUAAUACAUGCUGAAAAUCCCGACUUCGGAAGGGAUGUAUUUAUUAGAUUAAAAACCAAUGCCCUCCGGGGCUCUCUGGUGAUUCAUAAUAACUUCUCGAAUCGCACGGCCUUGCGCCGGCGAUGGUUCAUUCAAAUUUCUGCCCUAUCAACUUUCGACGGCUGGGUCUUGGCCAGCCGUGGUGACAACGGGUAACGGAGGGUUAGGGCUCGACCCCGGAGAAGGAGCCUGAGAAACGGCUACUACAUCCAAGGAAGGCAGCAGGCGCGCAAAUUACCCAAUCCCGACACGGGGAGGUAGUGACAAUAAAUACUGAUACAGGGCUCUUUUGGGUCUUGUAAUUGGAAUGAGUACAAUUUAAAUCCCUUAACGAGGAACAAUUGGAGGGCAAGUCUGGUGCCAGCAGCCGCGGUAAUUCCAGCUCCAAUAGCGUAUAUUAAAGUUGUUGAGGUUAAAAAGCUCGUAGUUGAACCUUGGGCCUAGCCGGCCGGUCCGCCUCACCGCGUGCACUGGCUCGGCUGGGUCUUUCCUUCUGGAGAACCGCAUGCCCUUCACUGGGUGUGCCGGGGAACCAGGACUUUUACUCUGAACAAAUUAGAUCGCUUAAAGAAGGCCUAUGCUCGAAUACAUUAGCAUGGAAUAAUAGAAUAGGACGUGUGGUUCUAUUUUGUUGGUUUCUAGGACCGCCGUAAUGAUUAAUAGGGACAGUCGGGGGCAUCAGUAUUCAAUUGUCAGAGGUGAAAUUCUUGGAUUUAUUGAAGACUAACUACUGCGAAAGCAUUUGCCAAGGAUGUUUUCAUUAAUCAGGAACGAAAGUUAGGGGAUCGAAGACGAUCAGAUACCGUCGUAGUCUUAACCAUAAACUAUGCCGAUUAGGGAUCGGACGGCGUUAUUUUUUGACCCGUUCGGCACCUUACGAUAAAUCAAAAUGUUUGGGCUC